CUGAGCGUAGUGUAGUGGUUUGAGUGCUGGACUAUGACUCUAGAGAUCAGGGUUCAAUUCCCAGCUUGGC